GGGUUGUGAGGUUAAGCGACUAAGCGUACACGGUGGAUGCCCUGGCAGUCAGAGGCGAUGAAGGACGUGCUAAUCUGCGAUAAGCGCCGGUAAGGUGAUAUGAACCGUUAUAACCGGCGAUUUCCGAAUGGGGAAACCCAGUGUGACUCGUCACACUAUCAUUAACUGAAUCCAUAGGUUAAUGAGGCGAACCGGGGGAACUGAAACAUCUAAGUACCCCGAGGAAAAGAAAUCAACCGAGAUUCCCCCAGUAGCGGCGAGCGAACGGGGAGGAGCCCAGAGCCUGAAUCAGCAUGUGUGUUAGUGGAAGCGUCUGGAAAGGCGCGCGAUACAGGGUGACAGCCCCGUACACAAAAGCGCAUGUGCUGUGAGCUCGAUGAGUAGGGCGGGACACGUGGUAUCCUGUCUGAAUAUGGGGGGACCAUCCUCCAAGGCUAAAUACUCCUGACUGACCGAUAGUGAACCAGUACCGUGAGGGAAAGGCGAAAAGAACCCCGGCGAGGGGAGUGAAAAAGAACCUGAAACCGUGUACGUACAAGCAGUGGGAGCACAGGUUUACCUGUGUGACUGCGUACCUUUUGUAUAAUGGGUCAGCGACUUAUAUUCUGUAGCAAGGUUAACCGAAUAGGGGAGCCGGAGGGAAACCGAGUCUUAAUUGGGCGUUAAGUUGCAGGGUAUAGACCCGAAACCCGGUGAUCUAGCCAUGGGCAGGUUGAAGGUUGGGUAACACUAACUGGAGGACCGAACCGACUAAUGUUGAAAAAUUAGCGGAUGACCUGUGGCUGGGGGUGAAAGGCCAAUCAAACCGGGAGAUAGCUGGUUCUCCCCGAAAGCU
rnacentral:rRNA from 1 species